rnacentral:ncRNA from 1 species
GAGCCUGAGAAACGGCUACCACAUCUAAGGAAGGCAGCAGGCGCGCAAAUUACCCAAUCCCGGCACGGGGAGGUAGUGACAAAAAAUAACAAUGCGGGACUCUUAUGAGGCUUCGUAAUUGGAAUGAGUACAUUCUAAAUCCUUUAACGAGGAACUAUUGGAGGGCAAGUCUGGUGCCAGCAGCCGCGGUAAUUCCAGCUCCAAUAGCGUAUAUUAAAAUUGUUGCGUCUAAAAAGCUCGUAGUUUGAAUACUUGCCUUGGCUUACAC